GGCUCUGGUGGUCUAGUGGUUAGAGCAUCUGCCUCGGAUAUGGGAGGUCAUGGGAUCAAUCCCCAGUCAAGUCA